CCUACGGGAGGCAGCAGUGGGGAAUAUUGCACAAUGGGGGAAACCCUGAUGCAGCGACGCCGCGUGAGUGAAGAAGUAAUUCGUUACGUAAAGCUCUAUCAGCAGGGAAGAAAAUGACGGUACCUGAGUAAGAAGCCCCGGCUAACUACGUGCCAGCAGCCGCGGUAAUACGUAGGGGGCAAGCGUUAUCCGGAUUUACUGGGUGUAAAGGGAGCGUAGACGGUGCGCCAAGUCUGGAGUGAAAUGCCGCAGCUUAACUGCGGAACUGCUUUGGAAACUGGCGAACUGGAGUGUGUGAGAGGAUAGUGGAAUUCCAGGUGUAGGAGUGAAAUCCGUAGAUAUCUGGAGGAACAUCAGUGGCGAAGGCGACUAUCUGGCACAUAACUGACGCUGAGGAGCGAAAGCGUGGGUAGCAAACAGGAUUAGAUACCCUUGUAGUC
rnacentral:rRNA from 1 species